ensembl:lncRNA
UAACGGUCAAGAUGGUGCUGUGAGCAGACGUUGAACUUGUCUCCUCCCACGAGCACAACCAGGUUACAACAAUUUUGGGAAGAAUCACCCUGGAUUGAAAACUGAAAACUGGAUAAAAAGAACCCCCACAACAAGGGACAGUCCUGACGAAAGCAGAAGAGGCAGUAACUCCGGCAGGAGAGGAAAAAAGCCACCUUUGGGAGCAGCGGAGAUUCUCAGCUGGCCAGGCGGGAGCCACCCUAAGCUACUCCUCUGCUCAGGAUUAUGACCACUGAAAUACUUUAUCUUCUCUUCCUCCGGCUUUAUGGUUGAGAGAUUUUAUACUGCUUAUCAGCGUUGGUUCAGGUUCAUAUGACCAGCCACAUUAAGGAAAAGAACAAACUGAAACCGGAAGAGAGGCGUUAGAAGUGUUGGAAAAUCACAAGAGUCGCUCUGCCCUUUUCGCAGACAGAUAAAAAAUUUUUUGGAAGGAUAAUUUGUCGACAUAUUGAUUCAUUGAAAUAUUAAUAUUGAAAAGGCGCUCCUUACACUAACCAGUCAAGAAGAUGCUGAGAAUACAAUGAGGGAUGAUCUCUGACUUCAGGUUGCUUUGUGACUAACCCACA